UAAGUCACGUCCGCAGUGUUUUUCAGAUAUCAUGUUGACUUUAAAAAUGUUCCAGAAAGCCUUAAACGCGCCACCACUUAUUUACGAGCUGCUUAAAUUGAUAUAUUGUUAUUACAUGAAGGAAUGUUUGUAAAUAUGUAUAUAUGUAAGUAAACGAAUAUAAACUGGGUGCAAUACAAGUACUGCAGCUAUUAUACAUUAAUGUACACAUAAAUAUAUAUGUCUAUAAAUGCAUUUACGUAGUAAAUUUAAAAAUAGUUGGAUGUACCUACCUUCAAUUGCAAUUAAUAAACUGCAAACAAAUAUAUUACAAAUUAAAUAAAGUCUUAAAAUAGCACAUUCCCAAUUGUUGUUAGUUAAUAAAAAAACAUUAGUAUGAACUACAAAGGUUACAUAUUAAAAAAAAAAAAAGAAAUUAUCUGACAUGAAUUAUAUAAAGUUUUCAGAGUCAAAAACAAUGGAUAAGUCCUUUGUGCCAUAUAUAAUUAUGUACAUAGAUUAAAGACAAGGUUUGAGAUGUAAAGCGAAAAUGCAUAACAAAAACUUGACAAUUAUUUGUUUAACUUUCUAUCCAAUUGCCGGGUAAAAAAGUUCUCACAUCUUCUAUACUAUUAAAGUCAGCUUUAAACAUUUAGGUCCCCGAUAACAUCAGUACAGCACAAAUAAAACAAAUGAAAGUAGAACUUGCUCAAAUCUAAGACAGAGCUGUAUGAGCCAUUAAUAAACAAAGAACUGCAAGUCCGAAGGCUCUUCCGCAAUUUUUCGAGCUUUAUUUCAUUGUUUUGUGCAGUUGGAAGUCGAGCUUGUCUGCCGAGUCCGCAACUGGAACGGAAACGUAUAAACACACAAACAAAUGAACUAAGCAUGAGGGUUCAAGGACAGUCAACAGCUGAGAAAAUUAUUUAAUUUGUGAUUACUAAACACGUGUAAUGAACAUUAUAAAAGUAUAGCUAGUCUAGAUUUCAUAAAAUUAGCACAUAUUCAUAAUUUAGUAAUGAUAUACUAAAGUUAUAUGAAAUUAUUUAACUUCUAACUGUUAAAAUAACUUCAUUUCAAUUUCGUAUUUCUGAAUUUACAGUUUUAGUUUCUUUUCUACUUUGUAAAACGGUGAGCACAAACACAAAACAACAAUAAAAAACAGCUGAGCAGUUAUUCUGCAAAAACUGUAUAAUUCUGAUUGGAAAUGAUAAGAAAAUUUAUGUAAAUAAAUUUGAACUCAACUUCUGGACAUAACCUCACAAUUUAAAACAGAAAGAUGACAAGGUAAAAGCUCCAUCGAAUAACACAAAGGAGAACAUAUGUACAAACAGAUAAAUGAUUGCUUAAAAACCGUUUGGUCGCAUAUACGUAAGCAUAUGUAUAUAUAAACAUAUAUAAAUAAUUAAAGGUACAUAUAUGCAAGUACGCACACCAACAGAAUAAUUCAGGAAAUGUGUGUGUGAGUGGUGUGUGCGUGUCUGUAUGUAUGUAUGGAUAUGUUCGUGAAAUGAAAUGGUGGCUAAACGAAGCCAGUGGGAAACGAAUAGAAAGAAAUAAACAUUACAAAUAGAAACAAAAACA